rnacentral:lncRNA from 1 species
GCAGGUAUAACAAUAAUAGAAAAAAACAUUUCUAUUUCUAGCCUACGUGAACGACGGCGGAGCCGGUUGCAAUUGAUUUUGCGCCAUUUGUCUCGAUAGCCAAGCUGUCCCAGCUUCCGACUGUUUCUUCUCCAUAAAUAGAAAUUUUCUCGCUGUCCUCUUCUUUCUAUAAUUGUUUUUGUAGCGAACCUUUCAUCACUUGAUUGAUAAAUAAAUUAAUCGCGAAUUUGUAGAGCGAUCAGUGAAGAUUCUUCUUAACUUUGUUUUUGGUUCCCGUUUUGUUAGUGAUUAGCUGAGAGAGAGCCGAGAUGAGUUUGAGCUCUUUGAAUGGAUUGUUAUCGCCGACAUCGUCGACAAUGCCGGAGCAUGACGUUGAGGCGGGG